rnacentral:ncRNA from 1 species
UUGGUCCUGGCCUUUUUAUUAGUUGUUAGCAAAAUAAUACAUGCAAGAGUCAUCCCUCCAGUGAGAAUGCCCAUAAGAUCAAGAGGAGCGGGUAUCAACUCAUAACAUCUUGCUCAGCCACACCCCCACGGGAUACAGCAGUACUUAAAAUUAAGCAAUAAACGAAAGUUUGACUAAGUUAUGCAAGGGUUGGUAAAUCUCGUGCCAGCCACCGCGGUCAUACGAUUAACCCUAAUUAAUAAAACCCGGCGUAAAGAGUGUUAAAAACAUAAAAUAAGAUUAAAUUUUAUCUAAGUUGUAAAAAACAACAGAAAAAACGAAAGUAAUCUUAAUAAAUCUGAAUACACUAAAGCUAAGAUCCAAACUGGGAUUAGAUACCCCACUAUGCUUAGGCGUAAACACAGAAAUAACAAAAAUUUUCGCCAGAGAACUACUAGCAAUAGCUUAAAACUCAAAGGACUUGGCGGUGCUUUAAAUCCACCUAGAGGAGCCUGUUCUAUAAUCGAUAAACCCCGAUAAACCUCACCACUUCUUGCUAAUCCAGUCUAUAUACCGCCAUCUCCAGCAAACCCCAAAAGUAAGCACAACUACAUAAAAACGUUAGGUCAAGGUGUAACUAAUGAAGUGGAAAGUAAUGGGCUACAUUUUCUUAAGAAAACUUACAAAGUAAUUUCUAUGAAAUCUAGAGAUUUAAGGAGGAUUUAGUAGUAAAUUAAGAAUAGAGAGCUUAAUUGAAUUAGGCAAUAAAGCACGCACACACCGCCCGUCACCCUCCUCAAAUAGAGGAGACAAGUCGUAACAAGGUAAGCAUACUGGAAAGUGUGCUUGGA